GAAAGGCUGCGUAAAAUUUUUUUGCGGCUGGAUGCAUAGAACCCCGUCAGUUUUAUGUGUCUCAAUUAGG
rfam:Firmicutes bacterium CAG:424 genomic scaffold, scf101